CUACAUCAGUGAUAAAGGCAUUUGCAUUUACUGGGUGGGAGACUGAAGAAGACGACGAUGAUGACAAUUUCGAUGACUGCCCGGAACGCUUAACCAAGGAGCUUUUAAGUGAAUUCCAUCAGUUGGAGCAAUUUUGGUUUGGCAGCACCGCCCACAGCCUAUAGCUUGACGUAAAAGAUGCAAUUUGGCAGCCCAAAUGCCGAGGAAAUCGUACAAAAAUGCCGUGCCAUCGUUGCAUCUAUACGCAAGAGUACCGCUGACACGGAAUAAGUGUUGAAUGUGGCCGGUAUGCAUUUGGAAUCUUGCAUCGCAACGAGGUGGAACUCGCAGCUGCAAAUGAUGUGAAAGCUCCUUGCCACUUUUUCGAGUCAUCCAUGCCUGACAGAAACUCCACACGCUUGCAAGAAGGCUAAACUGUCUUAAUAUGAACUGAGGCUGGCGGCAGACUUCAUUGAGCUUCUCUCCCCGGUAGAGGAAGCCACGGAGUUGCUGUAAAAAAGGCACGAGACAGCUGGGCUUUUGCUCUCUGCGUUGCGAAAUAUCGAAGUUUUCCUUGGGGGAAAUCUUAAGCAAAGGCACACUUCUUUGCAAAGAGGCAGCUAAAGGCCUAUGGGAUAGCCUGGAGAAGCAGUUCGCAAGCACCUGACUGACUCUGUUUCUUUGAUGGGUGCCCUUCUAGACCCAUGGUUUAAGUCUUCUUGGCAUUCAGCUGCAAAAGCCGAGCAGAUGCGUUCUGCUGUGCUAGGGAAGGGGCCUCUUUUGUUAGGGCAGGACAGCACCAGCACUGUCGUGAAUGCAGACUCUGAAGCAGGGCCAAGCAGACUGAUGUUUAAAAACAUCAGGCAAAAUGAAAAUGCCCACCAAGACAAUAUGCCUGGAGCCAUUGCGGGGGAAAUUUCUCUUUACCUUACAGAGGGAACUUGGUCACACCUCUGACCUAUUGGAGAGCGAACGUUAGCCGCUUUCCCUUGCUUUCCCGCCUCGCAAGGGUAGUUUUCGCUGUGAAUGCGACAUCAUCUGAUGUGGAACACGUGUUUUCUAUGGCAUCCCUGAUAAUGACAGCGAAGCGAAAUUGGCUGUCAAGCACCUCUUUUGAGCAGUUCAUGUUUCUGAAGCGCAACACCUAGGUAGAAGACAAUUGUCUUAUCUCACUGUUUUUUUUUUGUUUUUAGAACACCGUUGAAGCAACCGUUAUUUACAUUUCGGGUUUUAAACUAAAUGGCAAAGCGCCCAUUUAGCUCGUGACAUUUUGUUGCAAAAUUACGUUGAAUAAAACCAAAAUAAAGCUUCUUUUUGCACCUUGAA